CAACAGUAGACUCACGGGUCAGGAGAGGAGGGGCGCUGGGAGGAGCGCAGUUUCCUGAGGGGUGUUGUCGCUGAAGUUCGCCUAAUGCCGGCACUCGAAUGCUAUUUUGACGGCGGCUGAAGGUCUGCGGUCUCUAAACCGGUGGACACGCUGUCACCCAGGCGUACAAGUGCGCUGUCUUCAGGAGGCCAUGGAUGAAGACCAUCAUGGAGUGUUGAACUGAAAUUGAAUGAUGGCUAUGACAGUUGAAAAUUGUUGUUCACCUGAGUAAGUGUACCCUGAGGUUCUCUGCUUUUGCCAGACUGCACAUUGAUCACCAUCCUGACAUGUUAGCUGGCAUAAAAAUGGCAAAAUAGUAAAGAGAGAGACCAUCUGAGCUGCCAUUUCAGGAAGGUUUGGCCUACCCGCAAAGGACAACUGAGGUGAAAGGACAUGCAAGAGUUUGGACCGACACUCCCUGCUUCUCUAAUCCCAUUCAUUUUACUUGCAAUGGUACCCCUGAAUGGUGGUGGAAAGGACUUAUGUUUCACUGAAGCCAUUUUAGAGUUGAUUAAAGUGAUUAAUGAAAUUAAUGACAUUAAAAACGAGACAUACAUUGACAGUAAAUUAUAUACUCCAGAUGUGACCCACUACCAGAAAGCGUGAGCUUAUUCAGUGUGAACAGGAACAUGCGGGUGGUUGGCUGCUGUGUGCUACAAAAUGCUUGACCUGGUGGCGAUGAACGCACAUGUACUGUGCAAGGCAUGUACGGGGUCCACUGAGAAAAGAAGAGUGUUCUUUGCUCACCUUGUAGAGGAACUUUGCCAUCGCUUCUUAAAAGAAAAGGUGAUGGAAAAAGAAAAAGAGGAUGCAACAUCAACAAGCUUCUGUUCCAAGACCGCUGCUUCCCCCAGGAAAGCAAACUCAGUCAGUGUCAGGUGCCCCUUCAAUGUAAUAGGAACCACUGCAUAGAGAGAAGUGUGUACAUUGCAACAGGCACACAUGUCAUAAAUGUGAGAAGGACAGUCCUUGGGUGUGUGAGAACUGUUAACAUUUGAAUUUGAUAAUAGCAUAUAGCGUGGAACUGACCUCUCCGUACUAUUCUUUUCUUUGCAUGUCCUGGAGUACAAAAUAAAACUUCACCAU